UAGAACAAUAAUUGAUGUUGGCACAAGUGAACUCACACUUCGUGUGGGAGACGAAACAAUCACUCUUCAAGCUCAUAAUUCGAGUAACAAUCAAAAUUGAAGGUGGUGGUAUAAAUCAUCCUACUAAAACUGACCAUGUGCACCUACUUUGCAGGAAAUAGGUUCGAAGAACAUACAUGAGCCAUGUUCAAGAAACAACAAAGGACCAAUAUAUGAAGAACGAAGGCUACAAAUUGAUGAGCUAGAUGAAUGGCGGACACAUAAACCAAAAACACACGAUAAACCAAAACCAUGCC
rnacentral:lncRNA from 1 species